CGACUAGAUUUCCAUUAAAGAAAACAAAAGCCCAAUAGGUUUCAGCCUAUACAUAAAGAGUCCCACAGGUUACAACUAAGUUUACAAUAAAGCCCAAAUGCAAAAGUGAUUAAUCUUUACCAAUCUGGCUACGCGUCCACUCUAACCAAAGUAACAAACACGUGCCUCUACACGUUGCAAGCAUGCAUCCCCUAGGGUUAACCAGUCUCCGGAAUGUUGCUCCGCCAUGAAAUCGCUUUCCGAUUUUACAUCUUUGCCGUAAAUCGAGCCUCUCCGAUUAGAUGUCGGAACUCAAUGAGUAGCUUCUAUAGCCGCCUCUCUCCCAUCCUCAGCCUUCAUCAGCUUUCAAAACGACCACACCUGUUUCUCCGAAAAUCUCAGCCAGGAGAAGCCCCGUUCACUAAGGAUUACAGGUCGUAAUAAGUGCGAUAUUACCCGGUUGAGAAGAUGAAUCCAGUUGAGUAGAGGUUAGAUGGACUAAGAUGAUGAAGCCGAGAGCCACCCUUUAUACUCCGAUUGGAAUCAAAGUUUUUGGUCAGAGCGUUUAUUGAUUCAACCUGUAACAAAACUAAUGAAGAGAAAGAUGAAGAUCGAUUCUGGGUAGAGGUUGAAGAACACACCAAAAUCGCCUUAUGCGAAACAAGAAAUCGCUUUAUGCAAAACAGAAAUUUGGAUUAACGCGAAAAAAAAAACGAUCUCUGGUGUCGAAGAUAUUUUACAUAGAAAAGAACUUAAUCAACAUCUUUCUCUGAAAAAUAGAGGUUUGGUAAGAGGAAGAAGUUGAGAAAGAACUCC
rnacentral:lncRNA from 1 species